AGCAGCCGCGGUAAUUCCAGCUCCAAUAGCGUAUAUUAAAGUUGUUGCAGUUAAAAAGCUCGUAGUUGAACUUCAGGCCUGUCCAGACGGUCCGCCUUAAUUGGUGUGUACUGUCCUUGGGUGGGUCCUACCUUCUGGCGAAGCGGCGUGGCCUUAAUUGGUUGUGUCGGGGAACCAGGACUUUUACUGUGAAAAAUUAGAGUGUUCAAAGCAGGCAAAUAUGCUCGAAUACAUUAGCAUGGAAUAAUGGAAUAGGACGAUGGUUCUAUUUUGUUGGUUCUAGGACCGUUGUAAUGAUUAAUAGGGAUAGUUGGGGGCAUUAGUAUUCAAUUGUCAGAGGUGAAAUUCUUGGAUUUAUUGAAGACUAACUACUGCGAAAGCAUUUGCCAAGGAUGUUUUCAUUAAUCAAGAACGAAAGUUAGGGGAUCGAAGAC
rnacentral:rRNA from 1 species